rnacentral:misc_RNA from 1 species
CUUGCUUACAAGAGCCACCUGAUCCCAAUGAGUUGUAUCCUCGACAAUCUAGAAGGGCUUUGCAUCUUGGACUUCUCUAUGUUGGUUCACUUGUAGUACUUCUUGUGUAUUCCAUCCUGUAUGGUCUGACAGCAAAGGAAUCAAACUGGCUUGGGGCUACAACAUCAGCUGCCGUGAUAAUCCUUGAUUGGAACUUGGGAGCAUGCUUGUAUGGCUUUAAGCUUCUGAAAAGUCGAGUUGUCGUACUUUUUGUUGCUGGUACAUCUCGGGUGUUCCUGAUCUGUUUUGG